GUCUAAGUUUAAGCAAUUAUACGGCGCAGCUGCGAAUGGCUCAUUAAAUCAGUUAUCGUUUAUUUGAUAGUACCUUACUACUUGGAUAACCGUGGUAAUUCUAGAGCUAAUACAUGCUAAAAACCCCGACUUCGGGAGGGGUGUAUUUAUUAGAUUAAAAACCGACGCCCUCCGGGGCUCACCGGUGAUUCAUAAUAACUUCUCGGAUCGCACGGCCUUGUGCCGGCGACGGUUCAUUCAAAUUUCUGCCCUAUCAACUUUCGACGGCUGGGUAUUGGCCAGCCGUGGUGACAACGGGUAACGGAGGGUUAGGGCUCGACCCCGGAGAAAACGCCUGAGAAACGGCGUUUACAUCCAAGGAAGGCAGCAGGCGCGCAAAUUACCCAAUGCCGACUCGGCGAGGUAGUGACGAUAAAUACUGGUACGGGGCUCUUUCGGGUCUCGUAACUGGAAUGAGUACAAUUUAAAUCCCUUAACGAGGAACAAUUGGAGGGCAAGUCUGGUGCCAGCAGCCGCGGUAAUUCCAGCUCCAAUAGCGUAUAUUAACAUUGCUGAGGUUAAAAAGCUCGUAGUUGAACCUUGGGCCUGGCUGGCCGGUCCGCCUCACCGCGUGCACUGGUCCGGCCGGGCCUUUCCCUCCGGGGAUCCCCAUGCCCUUCACUGGGCGUGGCGGGGAACCGGGACUUUUACUUUGAAAAAAUUAGAGUGUUCAAAGCAGGCCUAUGCUCGAAUACAUUAGCAUGGAAUAAUAGAAUAGGACGUGCGGUUCUAUUUUGUUGGUUUCUAGGACCGCCGUAAUGAUUAAUAGGGACAGUCGGGGGCGUCAGUAUUCAAUUGUCAGAGGUGAAAUUCUUGGAUUUAUUGAAGACUAACUACUGCGAAGGCAUUCGCCAAGGAUGUUUUCAUUAAUCAGGAACGAAAGUUAGGGGAUCGAAGACGAUCAGAUACCGUCGUAGUCUUAACCGUAAACUAUGCCUGUUAGGGAUCGGACGGUGUUAUUUUGUGACCCGUCCGGCACCUUACACGAAAGUACAAACGAGGCUCCUGGGGAAAU
rnacentral:rRNA from 1 species